AUAGACGUUAGCUCAGUGGUUAGAGCACAGGCCUCUAGCUCUCGGGUCCGCGAGUUCGAGUCCCGUCGUCUACU
rnacentral:tRNA from 1 species